rnacentral:rRNA from 1 species
GACGUAGGGCGCGAGCGUUGUCCGGAUUUAUUGGGCGUAAAGAGCUCGUAGGCGGCUUGUUGCGUCGACCGUGAAAACCCGGGGCUCAACUUCGGGCCUGCAUUCGAUACGGGCAGACUAGAGUUCGGUAGGGGAGUCUGGAAUUCCUGGUGUAGCGGUGAAAUGCGCAGAUAUCAGGAGGAACACCGGUGGCGAAGGCGGGUCUCUGGGCAGUUACUGACGCUGAGGAGCGAAAGCGUGGGGAGCGAACAGG